ACGAGGUAGCAAUACCUAGUGGCGGACGGGUGAGUAACGCGUGGGAAUCUGCCUUUAGAUGGGGGAUAACGGGUCGAAAGACUCGCUAGUACCGCAUAUGACGAAAGUUGAAAGGAGUAAUCCGUCUAAAGAUGAGCCCGCGUCCGAUUAGCUAGUUGGUAGAGUAAAAGCCUACCAAGGCGACGAUCGGUAGCUGGUCUGAGAGGAUGAUCAGCCACAAUGGGACUGAGACACGGCCCAUACUCCUACGGGAGGCAGCAGUGGGGAAUUUUACGCAAUGGGCGAAAGCCUGACGUAGCGACACCGCGUGAACGAAGAAGCCUCUUGGGGUGUAAAGUUCUGUCAGCUGGAACGAAAAAAAUGACGGUACCAGCAGAGGAAGCAUCGGCUAACUACGUGCCAGCAGCCGCGGUAAGACGUAGGAUGCAAGCGUUGUCCG
rnacentral:rRNA from 1 species